rnacentral:rRNA from 1 species
GAUGAACGCUGGCGGCGUGCCUAAUACAUGCAAGUCGAGCGAACGGACGAGAAGCUUGCUUCUCUGAUGUUAGCGGCGGACGGGUGAGUAACACGUGGAUAGCCUACCUAUAAGACUGGGAUAACUUCGGGAAACCGGAGCUAAUACCGGAUAAUAUUUUGAACCGCAUGGUUCAAAAGUGAAAGACGGUCUUGCUGUCACUUAUAGAUGGAUCCGCGCUGCAUUAGCUAGUUGGUAAGGUAACGGCUUACCAAGGCAACGAUGCAUAGCCGACCUGAGAGGGUGAUCGGCCACACUGGAACUGAGACACGGUCCAGACUCCUACGGGAGGCAGCAGUAGGGAAUCUUCCGCAAUGGGCGAAAGCCUGACGGAGCAACGCCGCGUGAGGGAUGAAGGGCUUCGGAUCGUAAAACUCUGUUAUUAGGGAAGAACAUAUGUGUAAGUAACGGUGCACAUCUUGACGGUACCUAAUCAGAAAGCCACGGCUAACUACGUGC